rnacentral:rRNA from 1 species
UACGGAGUGUGCAAGCGUUACUCGGAAUCACUGGGCAUAAAGCGCGCGUAGGCGGGUUUCCAAGUCGGUUGUGAAAUCCCUCAGCUCAACUGAGGAACUGCAUCCGAUACUGUUUGUCUUGAGGACGGGAGGGGAGAGUGGAACUUCUGGUGAAGCGGUGAAAUGCGCAGAUAUCAGGAAGAACACCAAUGGCGAAGGCAGCUCUCUGGGACGGUACUGACGCUGAGACGCGAAAGCGUGGGGAGCGAACAGG